GUUCCCAGUGUGGUCAGGGUUAGGCAGAAGGUUCCCAGUGUAGUCAGGGUUAGGCAGAAGGUUACCAGUGUGGUCAGGCAGAAGGUUCCCAGUGUGGUCAGGGUUAGGCAGAAGGUUCCCAGUGUAGUCAGGGUUAGGCAGAAGGUUCCCAGUGUAGUCAGAAGGUUCCCAGUGUGGUCAGGCAGAAGGUUCCCAGUGUGGUUAGGCAGAAGGUUCCCAGUGUGGUCAGGGUUAGGCAGAAGGUUCCCAG